GAUUGCCUAAAAUCACCCUGAGGCAGACUUUUUCCCUAAAUCCUAAGUAAGGGCUGGGAUUAUUGCUCAGUGGCAGAGCGUUUGCUUGGCAUGUGCAAGGCCCUGGGCUUAAUACCCAGCAAAGGAAACAAUUCCUGGCCCAGUUCUUAGACUAGCCCCCAGUUCUUUGACUCUCAUAUUUCUGUUUUCUCCAGGGAUUCGGAUUGUGAAACUCCUGUCCCUGUGAUGAUUUUUGACCCUUGCUUUCCAGUCUGCCUGGAAAUUACUCCCUGUUAAUUUGCACCUUGACCAUGACCUAUGCUACCUUCUCCCAGACCCUGCUUUGUUCCAUCUGCUGGAUUUCCAUUGUCAGGGUCCUGCCCAGGACUAACCUCUGCUCAUGAACAUCUUCUGGAAUGACUGUCUUGGCACUGACCCACUCACCAUACUGACUAUGGUGAGGCGAGGCACCAUGUUGGAGAGCUCCCUUGGGAAAGAGCUGGAGGCUGAAUGAUCUACAUGGAAUGGCCAGACUCAGGAGGUCAUACCUGGCACCAAAAGAAUAAGUUAAUAAGUAAAAAUCUUAGAUAAAAUAAAGAAAGAGCAGGAAGAAAAAUCUGUCUCAUUCUACAAUCCACCAAUUUUUCCUGAGAUUAUUUGUCAGCUCUAAGGUCACUGACAGGCAGUACAUGGACUGAGUCAUUGGUACCUGCUUCACAGAUGUGGUGGGCAAAGAUAUCCUGUGAAUGUGGGAGUUAAUCAUAGUGCUUCCGUUGCUCCCUUUGGCAAUUCUGAGGAGCUACGAGGAUCCUGAUUUGUUCGCUGCAGUUUUAAAUGACAGUGUGUGGGAAACAAAUCAAGGAGUUCUGAGUCUGGUGGAGCUGCAGCUAGGGGCCUGUUCGUACAACCUCCAUGUCCUCAUCUGUAAAGUGAAGGACAAGAAGCAUCUGCAGUCCAAGGCCCCUUCUGGACUCCUGGUUUGAGAGCAGGUGGUGUCUGUGAGCCUAGACCAUGGAACUGGUGUUUAGUGGUGAAGCCGAUAAUUCUCCCACUUGCUUAAAAGAUUGAGCCGAGACAAGAGAUUUUUACCUGACUGUGUCUUCUGCCAGAAGCCAGAGAAAUGCACAAUCUUGGAACGCUGAGACGUGGAUACCGCAUGUCUAAUGGAUGGAAUCUUUUUUUGUCUGGGGUAGAAAUAUACAACUAUUGACUGUGUUACGCAUAUGGAGUAAAACUGAUUGCAGGUGGUAAGUUUGUGUGUACUUUAAGAAAAACAUUGAUUACUUAUACAUAUCCUGGUAAAUGUAACUCAGUUCAAAUCCAAUAUAAAAAUGCUUUCAAAAGGGAACAGUAAAAUUUUAACUGGAUCCCUUCAAUGUAUGAAGGGAUCCCAGCAAUACCCAUGGUAUGAAUUUAAUGCUCUUUUUCAAAACUCUAAGCUCUGUGAUUCUGCAUAGACCAAAUUAAGAGAAGGUUAAAUUCGAUAUGCAUGAGUGGUGUUAGUCCUUGUUAGGAGUGAAUCAUUUUUGGCCUUAAGACACAACAUUUCAUGUUCAAUUCAUGUCUCAGAAAAGAAGCCGUAAUUCUAACUACUGGAAAUGAAAUAAUGAGCAUAGUUGUACUGCGAUUACAGGUGUAUCUCACAGAUAAAGAACGAUUAACAUGAAUAGCUCACAUUCCCCCCAUCUCGUGGAUGGAUAUGAGCAAGGUAGCCAUAGUCGGCUGACCCUGUGCCAUUGAUGGUGUGAGGUCAGCUGGAAAAGAAGCCCAGACCUGCAUUCUCGAGACCUCAUCACGAGCCCUCUUGGCAUAAUCAGCAUAGCACAGUGUUUUAGGUCAGAGGCACCCACCCAGGCUCUGCCCGAUCGCUGCUGUACAAUUUUAAUGAGUUACUCUAUCUCUCAAAAUCUUCUCUUCUGAGUAGCUGAUUAAAAUAGUCUUUCUGUGAGGACUGCAUUGCGAUAUGUCUGGCACACAGUGAGUGCUUGAGAAACAUUUGCUAUUAUUAUUAUUAUUAUUAUUAAUUUUAUUUACUUAUCUUGAAGCCAAAUGAACAGAUAUUUGAGAACUUUAGGAAAAAGUCAGUGUAGGAAUUCAAAGUUUCACCAGUAAUGGAAUUAUUUUUCUUCCUCAAACUGAGGCUUUUCAAAACACCAGUGAUAAGAUAGGUAAUCUCUAAAGGCUUGAAGAUUUCAGCUUUUAUUUUUGACACAUCUUGGUCCUUUUUUUUUUUCUGAGUUUUAAAAAAUACAUAUGACCAUCAGGGAAUAGGAAAGAGGAUUAGUCUUCCUAAAAAUAAUAUGGGCUUUAUAGGUCCAUUUUGUUUGACAAUUAUUUUCUAAGGCAACUGGCCUUUCCAAAAUAAAUUUACAAACUGUAUCCUUAUAAAAAAUUAGAACUUGGCAAGCCAAAAGAAUUUGGGCCAUAUCAGCUCUGUCAUUCUACAUUUUAAAAUAUUUAGCCCUACUUCAAGAUAAGUAGGAACAAUUGAACUUAAACAACCAAGAAAAAUAAACAUACAACAUCUUGAAAAUGUACAAAUAACUAGAUGGUUUUUAAAAAUGUUAUCAGAAAUGUCUUUAUUACUAAUAAGCUCUAAGUUAGACUAUGGCCAUAGAUUAUAUUUAUUUGUAAUGUUAUGGCCACACUGCCAAGGGACUGUCCACUGUGAGGACAGAUGAAACUCAGCAUUCACAGCCACUUGGAGCCGUGGCUGGAGGAACCCCAGCUGGCUGAUGUCAAAACCCUGGCAAGUCUUUGGCAUGGGGGUGGAGAGCAUGUGCUUUGGUACAAUCAGAAUGGCUCAGGGUAUGAUUUGAAGGUAUGAUUUGAAGCUAAGAUUUGAACAAUCUUAAAGGACGAUUGGAUAGUGUAUCAAACCGAGUUCUCCAGAGGAAUAAAACCAAUAGAAUGUAUAUAAUAACCACGGGGUGUGUGUGUUAUUACAUCGUUUUACAUAAAAAAGGCUGAGUAGUCUCGCUGUCUGCAAGCUGAAUGGCUGAGGGAACUUGUAGGUGUCCAGUAGAAGAAGCUAGGAGCCUCUGAUCAAGGACCAAUGAUGCAGCCCCAGUAUCGAAGCUUAAGGCCUGGGAGUGUCCUGGACAGUCACUGGUGCAAGUCUGCAUCAAAGGCUGAAGACUGGAGCCUGAUUGCCACAAAAAACUCGGCGGGCCAAAAAGAGCUGAGCAUGUGCCUGAGAGGGCGUUUCCCUUCUUCUGAGUUCUGUUCCAUCCCGGCCCCCAGCCUAUGGGUGCCUCACACAUUCAGAACUAUCUUCUCUCAAUUUGCUGACAUGCGUGCCGGUCACCUCUGGAAACACCUUCACAGGCAUACCUAGAGUGCGCUUCAUCGAUUUUCUGGUUGUGUCUCAAUCUAGUCAAGUUGAUAACAAGAUGAACCAUCACAGAUGGGCUUGUUGACUCUUCCAGGUACAACGGUUUCUUCCUUUCUGCCUCUCCACCUUCCCCUGGCACCAGUUUCCUAUGCUUGGAGAUACGAAUAAUGGGAGCCCAGUGAUCAUGAGAAAAUUCUACUGGGUUGAUGAACAACAACAGUGAAGGGCAGGAACAGUACAAAACCAGUACUGGGAGGACAACUGAGACCCAUAAUUACUCAGUGAGUUGACCUUGCCCUCCUCAGGACACCUGAUGUGCUGCUGAGCGAUAAAAUAUAUGGCUCUGGUAUCAGAUGCAAAUUCACAUCUCCCCACACUGGUAGGUUUCCUGUGAUCCUCAGGCCACGCACUCAUUGACACCCAUCUUUUUCAUUUGCAAUAUAAGUAUAUAAAAAUUAGAUUUUUGUGGGAUGAAAUGAUAGAGCUAUAACUAUUACUAUUAAUUUUUAGUCUGCAGUGUGUCAAGAACAUUAUCCUGACAUGAGUUCUCUUUAUGUACUAAUAUCUAUUUUAUUUUUUUAAAAAAUCUAUUUUAUUUCUAGUUUUCCAGUGAUCUCUGAUAAAAUCACAGGUACCACAGACCUGUGAUGCUCUAUUAAAAUCUAAACAUUUUUUUCUGAGUCAGAAAUAUUUUAAAAAAUCUCAGGAACUUCCCAUACAAGAGUUUAAUUAGGUAAACACAUCAAAGAAUAGCUUAGAUUAUUUUGUUUAUAGUCUCAAGAGAAAGUUCUAAAGGACAUACUCCUUUUAACUUUAAUACACUUUUCCAGGAUCCAUUGUUUUAUUUUGAUUUAUUCCUUAUAAGUACAUUUAAAUGACUGCUAUGAAAUGACAUUUAGGAUACAAAUAUUUUUAAUCUUAAUUUUUAAUAAUUUCUUGUCUUAAAACUCAUAAUAUUUUGAGUUCUAAUAAUAAAACUGGAAUUUUGAUUUUUACAAGUAAUAUCUCAACCAAGAAUCAUCAUAUACAAACCAAAAAAUUUUCAAGACAGUCUGGAUUGUAUUCAAAGUAACAAACAUUAUUCAAAAGUACAAAUUUCAUUCAUAUUUAUUGCAACUCUAUUCAUAACAGCUAAGAAAGGGAAGCAACUUGAGCAUCUAUCAACUGAUGAGUGAACAAGGAAAAUGGGUUAUGUAUACAUAAUGGAAUACUAUUCAUCCAUAAAGAAGGUUGAAAUCCUGUCAUUUGCAAUAUAACAUGAAUGGAAUUGUUGAUCUUUAUAUUAAGUGAAAUCAAUCAGGCACAAAAAAGACAAACAGCACAUGAUCUUGCUCAUAUGCAAAAUCUAAAUAUGUUGAUCUCAUAAAAGUUGUGAGUACAGAAUGAUACAUGUCGAAGAGAAUAGAGAGAGCACAAGGACAGGGAGAGGCUGGCCAAUGGGGAUGAAGUUGCAGUUAGACAGGAGUAAGAUAUUCUGGUGAGCUCCUGUAUGGCAGGGUAACUAGAUAACAAUAAAGUAGUGUAGAUUUUAAAAAGCUAGAAGAGAGGAUAUUGAAUAUCUGUUCCAUAAAAAUGAUAAAUGUUUGUGGAAAUGGACAUACUAACUCUGAUUUGAAUAUUAUACAAUGUAUGAAUGUAUCAAAACUUUACAUGGCUCCUCUUGAUGUGUAUAGUUUUGUAUUUCUAUCAUCAAUUAAAAAUAAAUUUCAAAAAUCCUCAAAAAUAAAUAAAUGACUCACUUGCUUGGCUGUGUUGACUUCUAUUUUCCAUAGUGACUAGAAAAAUCCAAAAGAACUGACUGAAUGUGUCAGAUAUCAUACAGACAGAAUUAGUCAAGAGAAAGUUGACUUCCUUAGAUAUACAUCUUCUCUUAUAUAGAGUCAGACCUAUCCAAAGUAAGAAGAGUGAGAUAAUACUUUAUUGUCUUUUUGUUCUUUUUAGCAUUUAAGGUAGUAGUAGUAGUUGCUGAUAUUUUCAUCGACAAAUAUAAAAUUUUUUUAGUAACUGUUUUUUUUGUCCUUGAGGCUGAACGUAUAACAGAGCCAAUCACGUUACUUCAUUCUGCAAGUGAGGGUAGUUGAUUGACAGAUGCCAUGUGGCCCAAGCUGAACUAAUCUGAAUUCUUCACUUGGCUUUGUUUUGCUGCAGCUAUCAGGGAAUACUUUCUUUCUUCCUAGGUUGAUAAGGAUGGGACUCCCAUACUUCAGGUAUUCAGUAAAUGCUUAACUUUGCCCACUGAAAGUUCAGCUCUUUGUUCACAGCUCCAAGGGUGGUGAACUCAAAACCCACAAGAUACUAUCCUUGAUAAGGAUGGCUGUAUGUAUCUGGGGUUUGAGACAGCCAGACUGUCUAUGCUAACAAUGCAAUUUUUGGUGAGGGCUUGGGCUAUGUGAUACCCCUCAAGCUAUAGAGGAGCUGGAGACAAAAGAUAGGCUCAUAAGUGAUCAAUGUGUCUACAUGGCAGACUCCUAACAAAAAAUCUGGACAACAAAACUUGGAUGAGCUUUCAUGGUUGGGAAUAUUCUGUGUGUGUUAUUACACAUCCUUGCUGAAAGAACAGUGUGCAUCCACCUAAUUUCACUAGGAAUGGGCAACUG
rnacentral:lncRNA from 1 species